GGGAUGGACGCACCUCUGGUGUACCAGUUGUUCUGCCAAGGGCAUGGCUGGGUAGCUAUGUACGGAAUGGAUAAGCGCUGAAAGCAUCUAAGCGCGAAGCCAACUUCAAGAUAAGAUUUCCCACCGUAAGGGUAAGAUCCCAGGAAGACUACCUGGUUGAUAGGUCAAAGGUGUAAGUGCAGCAAUGUAUGUAGCUUAUUGAUACUAAUAGAUCGAGGACUUGACCAAG
rnacentral:rRNA from 1 species